CCUCCGAAAUUAGAACACGAAAACAGAUGUCGCUGUUAAAAUUUAAGUUUUAUCAAACGAAGUGAAACCGAAGAUAGACGAAGUGAAAUAAGUUAAUGUAAAUAAAGAAAAUGAGGUUAAAGUUAAGUGAAUUUAUCAACAAAACACAAUGGAUUAUUCGAUUUUUGACUGUCAUGGAAAAAAAUUGAAUCAUCCGGAGCUUUUGAACAUCUGUGGCAUCCACGGAUUCCGGGAAAGAAUACCCGGACAACUCCCAGGCAGCAUGAAAUUUUUGUUUAAUAAGCAGGAUCUUAUGCGGAAUGAUGGAAGCAUUUGUGGAAGAGUUGAAAUUGGUGGGACCAGCUCUCCGGAAUGGCAUUAAGAGAAGAAGUCGCGAAUCUACAUAGAAUGUUCCUUAAUAAAAUGUCUUCCCAUACUCUAA